rnacentral:rRNA from 1 species
CCUACGGGCGGCAGCAGUGGGGAAUAUUGGACAAUGGGGGGAACCCUGAUCCAGCCAUGCCGCGUGUGUGAAGAAGGCCCUCGGGUUGUAAAGCACUUUCAGUGAGGAAGAACGCCUGGUGGUUAAUACCCAUCAGGAAAGACAUCACUCACAGAAGAAGCACCGGCUAACUCCGUGCCAGCAGCCGCGGUAAUACGGAGGGUGCGAGCGUUAAUCGGAAUUACUGGGCGUAAAGCGCGCGUAGGUGGCUUGAUAAGCCGGUUGUGAAAGCCCCGGGCUCAACCUGGGAACGGCAUCCGGAACUGUCAAGCUAGAGUGCAGGAGAGGAAGGUAGAAUUCCCGGUGUAGCGGUGAAAUGCGUAGAGAUCGGGAGGAAUACCAGUGGCGAAGGCGGCCUUCUGGACUGACACUGACACUGAGGUGCGAAAGCGUGGGUAGCAAACAGGAUUAGAUACACCAGUAGUC